UACGUAGGGGGCAAGCGUUGUCCGGAUUUAUUGGGCGUAAAGAGCGUGUAGGCGGCCUGACAGGUCUGCUGUGAAAACUCGAGGCUCAACCUCGAGAUGUCGGCGGAAACCGUCUGGCUAGAGUCCGGAAGAGGAGAGUGGAAUUCCUGGUGUAGCGGUGAAAUGCGCAGAUAUCAGGAAGAACACCUAUGGCGAAGGCGGCUCACUGGGGGUCUUCUGACGCUGAGGAACGAAAGCCAGGGGAGCGAACGGG
rnacentral:rRNA from 1 species